rnacentral:misc_RNA from 1 species
UAUUUUAUUGGCUUCUAAUUAACUACCAGAAACCUGAAAGCUGGCUAACGUAGAGGUGGAACAACUCCAUAAACCUUAUAAGAUGAGACUCUACAGAUUGACAGUCACAUAUAUGAGGAUUCAGGACUUACACCAACAAAAGAAAAAGAAUUAUAACAAAAUAACAGCCCACAUUAACCUCUUCUGAACGACAGUUAACAGGUUGCAAUCACAUUUCAGAAACUAAAAGGAAAAUGCAUAACUAAA